rnacentral:rRNA from 1 species
AUUGAACGCUGGCGGCAUGCUUUACACAUGCAAGUCGAACGGCAGCGCGGGCUUCGGCCCGGCGGCGAGUGGCGAACGGGUGAGUAAUACAUCGGAACGUGCCCAGUAGUGGGGGAUAGCUCGGCGAAAGCCGGAUUAAUACCGCAUACGACCUGAGGGUGAAAGCGGGGGGUCUUCGGACCUCGCGCUAUUGGAGCGGCCGAUGGCAGAUUAGCUAGUUGGUGGGGUAAAGGCCUACCAAGGCGACGAUCUGUAGCUGGUCUGAGAGGACGACCAGCCACACUGGGACUGAGACACGGCCCAGACUCCUACGGGAGGCAGCAGUGGGGAAUUUUGGACAAUGGGCGAAAGCCUGAUCCAGCAAUGCCGCGUGUGUGAUGAAGGCCUUCGGGUUGUAAAGCACUUUUGGCGGGAACGAAAAGGACUGUGCCAAUACCACGGUUCGAUGACGGUACCCGCAGAAUAAGCACCGGCUAACUACGUG